AGCUUUGCGCAGUGGCAGUAUCGUAGCCAAUGAGGUUUAUCCGAGGUGUGAUUAUUGCUAAUUGAUUUUGGAAUGGGCUGGGGAAUGUAGCUCAGUGGUGAAGCACAUGAAAAUCCAGUACCACACACAUGC
rnacentral:snRNA from 1 species